rnacentral:rRNA from 1 species
GAUGAACGCUAGCUACAGGCUCAACACAUGCAAGUCGAGGGGUAACAAGAGGAAAGCUUGCUUUUCUUGUUGACGACCGGCGCACGGGUGAGUAACGCGUAUCCAACCUGCCUAUAACUAGGGAAUAACCUUGCGAAAGUAAGACUAAUACCCUAUGAUUUCCUUUGAUGACAUCAGAUUAGGAAUAAAGAUUUAUCGGUUAUAGAUGGGGAUGCGUCUGGUUAGCUUGUUGGCGGGGUAACGGCCCACCAAGGCAACGAUCAGUAGGGGUUCUGAGAGGAAGGUCCCCCACAUUGGAACUGAGACACGGUCCAAACUCCUACGGGAGGCAGCAGUGAGGAAUAUUGGUCAAUGGGCGGAAGCCUGAACCAGCCAAGUAGCGUGCAGGAUGACGGCCCCAUGGGUUGUAAACUGCUUUUAUACAGGAAUAAAGUUAGCCACGUGUGGUUAUUUGUAGGUACUGUAUGAAUAAGGACCGGCUAAUUCCGUGCCAGCAGCCGCCGUAA